UACGGGGGGGGCAAGCGUUGUUCGGAAUUACUGGGCGUAAAGGGCUCGUAGGCGGCCAACUAAGUCAGACGUGAAAUCCCCAGGCUCAACCUGGGAACUGCGUCUGAUACUGGAUGGCUUGAAUUCGGGAGAGGGAUGCAGAAUUCCAGGUGUAGCGGUGAAAUGCGUAGAUAUUGGGAAGAACACCAGUGGCGAAGGCGGCUCACUGGCUCGUAACUGACGCUCAGGCGCGACAGCGUGGGGAUCAAACAGG
rnacentral:rRNA from 1 species